ACAAUCUCGAUAUGAAAUUUCAGGAGAACACAUGCGCGCUUUUUGACCGUAUACAUAUUUGGGAACUCGUAAAUCGUUUCGUUGUAUUCGAGUAACGUAAUGUGCAAAUGUGCUCAGAUUAAUUGCUAUGGGAAUGUCUUAUAAGCGAUUAAGGAAGUCAAGUACACAUUCACCUGAAGACGCUGAACUCACAACGCAAACUUCUAUCCUAUUUAUAACAUUAAUUGGUGUCGUCGAAAUGGAAUAUUUGUACAAGAAACUUCAGAUAUUACUAAACUCUUCGUAUAAAUAAUGUUGCGGAGCUGCACGCUGUAUGGGGUUAUGAUUUCAAACGAUACGAAAUGUGGAUAGUUCAGUUCUUAAUGCUAUAUACAUACUUUUAAUACUUUAUGUAAUGUAAUAUACAGCUUUAAAGGAAUGCUGAAUAAAUAAGAGCAAUGUGCAGUUAAGUGCAGAUCAAGCAUAUUAGCAUAAAGCAUAAACGACGAUAGUGAAUACAUGAUGAAUAAAGAAGUAAGUUUCAGAAAACAAAAGUAUUUUCAAACAUUAAAUAAAUCGCUGAUAAAUUAAUGCAAAAACAUUGCAGUUUAUUUAGUAAAACUAUUAAGUUUCAGUAACACAAUAAUGUGCGGUUGAGGACUUAGAAAAUUGUAUUAAUUUCUAAGACAACGACGGAAAACUCAUCAUUUUCUGGGGUUACAGACGGUC